rnacentral:rRNA from 1 species
UACGGAGGGUGCAAGCGUUAAUCGGAAUUACUGGGCGUAAAGGGUGCGUAGGUGGUUAAAUAAGUUAUCUGUGAAAUCCCUGGGCUUAACCUGGGCAGGUCAGAUAAUACUGUAUAACUCGAGUAUGGGAGAGGGUAGUGGAAUUUCCGGUGUAGCGGUGAAAUGCGUAGAGAUCCGGAGGAACACCGACGGCGUAAGCAGCGCCCUAAACGAGUACUGACGCUCAGGCACGAAAGCUGGGGGAGCAAACAGG